UACGUAGGUGGCAAGCGUUGUCCGGAAUUACUGGGUGUAAAGGGAGCGCAGGCGGGAAGCCAAGUCAGCUGUGAAAACUACGGGCUUAACUUGUAGACUGCAGUUGAAACUGGUUUUCUUGAGUGAAGUAGAGGUUGGCGGAAUUCCGAGUGUAGCGGUGAAAUGCGUAGAUAUUCGGAGGAACACCGGUGGCGAAGGCGGCCAACUGGGCUUUAACUGACGCUGGGGCUCGAAAGUGUGGGGAGCAAACAGG
rnacentral:rRNA from 1 species